GUCCCCCGCGGCGACCUCUCCACUCGCCGUCGCCGUCCGUCGGGGAGGGAGCGUGCGUGCGGUCCCCCGCGGCGACCUCUCCACUCGCCGUCGCCGUCCUCGGCCACUCGCCGUCCCGACCUCUCCACUCGCCUCCUCUGGCCAGCCAACCAUAGUGGCAUCGUUCCUCUGACACCGGUCGGCGCUUCGACUUCGACUCCUACAACCGGCACCUCGACUUGUCAACAUCCUCCGUCGCCAAAUCUUAACCACUACGAGUUCAUCCGGCCAUCGUCGUGAACCUCCAAGCAGAUAUGCCACGCCCUUCAUGUCAUCAGGCCAACGACCUCACCCUGGGAGUCCACUUCUUCACGGUCACGACAUCUGCCUUGAAAAAUUAUCUGGAGUGAGUUCCAGAGACGAACGGGGAACUGGACUUUGAGCUGGAGCGGUCAUGUGUUCUUGCACCUGGGGAUUAAAAGCCAAUAUACAAUUUGUUCAUUUUCUUUUAGAGGUAUGUAACAUUGAUUCGUACGAUUAGUUGGUACUUAAGAACAUGGAUACCCACACUUUCCAGGAUGGCUCAAGCUGUUCUGAUAGUUGAUAUAGAUUUAAAUGACUAGGAGAACCUAAGUGGCUCAUUCAUACGCCACCAUUUCCAAUAUAUAUGGGGCAGUUCUUAAACGUGCAAAUGUUCAAGAAAUGAGUGCUCUCAUUUGUCAUGCCAUGGAAGUAUGGUUUGAAGUUUCCUUACUGCAAAGAUUUUUCUUCAACAUCUAUGAGCUGGCUAGCAAAAUUAUUGUAACUACAAUUCACAUCAGAUAUAAGGCGACAAAUAGGGCAUCAUCUAGGUCCAUACAUCUUAAUAUCAUUUUCACUGACGGUUGCUUUGCUAUCAUAGUCAUUGUUUAUGACAGAAUGUAUAAACCACAUGGAGCUUGUGACAUCGGAUGAAGCUAGCGCACGGCGGCAUACAACAGGAGCUAUUAGAGCUGGUUGUUACACGGGCAUGAUGUAGUGCCCAGGAUGCUCUUCGGAUGGCUCCCAGGAUGGGAUUGAACCCAGUUGAGGUCCUUGGGAAAUCAGGCCCUCCUGUUUCCAAGAUCAUAGGCUUU